GCUUCAAAUUGGGCAAGGAAUUUGACCAGCUUGGCUUUAAUAUUUUAGUAAUGGGACAUUCUUUUCUUACAGUAAUAAUUAAUAAAAAAUUCUUUCAUCACAAGUCCUUUUACAACAACCCUAAGAACUCUUAUCCUCACCACACCCUGCAAAGUAUGUAUUAUGUGUUUUAAAUUCUGUGUCUAACUAGUAGUACAUGAGACUUGUUUUCACUAAGCACACAAAAUAAUUUAUUCUGAUAUUUGCUGAUUCUGUUAGGAAGUAUAUUUAGGCCGCAAAUAGAAAUAGUUGUUAGAAAAUAGAUAUAAUUUAAUCUAAUCCUAGGCGCCUGGGCGAGGCGAAAUCAAGGCACCUCGCCUAGGAAGCCUCCAGGCGAGGGGACUUCAACCAGGCGUUGCCUAGGCGCCCAAGUGAGGCCUAGGUUAGGCAAGAAAAGGGAAGAAAAUGCAAGAAGUUUAAAAUAAAUAAAUAAAUAAGUUGAGAAAGAACAUAACCACUUCUCCUCUUUCUUCCUUUCUUCUUUUUUUGGUUAAACAUUUCCAUUAUUUUUCUUCAUUCUUCUGUUCUAUCCCUCAAAUUCUGAAAUU
rnacentral:misc_RNA from 1 species